UGCAUUAUUCUUAAACAGUUUCUGAAGAUUUUCCACGACAUUCUUAUCCAGCUGGAAAGCUUUAGCGAGAACAUCAGGAUUAAUAGGUGGAUUAGGUCCGAAGAUUGCAUUUGCUAUGGUAAUGACACCUGGGUUUUGGCUGCUUAGACCUGCAAACGCAACUGCAUGCGUUUUUGCAAUAUUAAACUGGAAAUGAAUGAGACCAAUUGGAAAUACAAACACAUCUCCUGGGUAUAAGACUUUGGAGAUAAAACGAUUAGGGUUGGAUGUGACAAAGCCAACAUAAAGGGUGCCUUCCANNNNNNNNNNNNNNNNNNNNNNNNNNNNNNNNNNNNNNNNNNNNNNNNNNNNNNNNNNNNNNNNNNNNNNNNNNNNNNNNNNNNNNNNNNNNNNNNNNNNNNNNNNNNNNNNNNNNNNNNNNNNNNNNNNNNNNNNNNNNNNNNNNNNNNNNNNNNNNNNNNNNNNNNNNNNNNNNNNNNNNNNNNNNNNNNNNNNNNNNNNNNNNNNNNNNNNNNNNNNNNNNNNNNNNNNNNNNNNNNNNNNNNNNNNNNNNNNNNNNNNNNNNNNNNNNNNNNNNNNNNNNNNNNNNNNNNNNNNNNNNNNNNNNNNNNNNNNNNNNNNNNNNNNNNNNNNNNNNNNNNNNNNNNNNNNNNNNNNNNNNNNNNNNNNNNNNNNNNNNNNNNNGAGCUGUUAGUGGAUCUAAUUCCUUUGUGUCUACAAGAUCUGGAUGUCAUCCUAGGUAUGGACUGGUUAUCCCGUCAUCAUGCCACAAUAGAUUGCUUUGAGAAAUCAGUGGUAUUUAAUAGUCUAGAAGGGUCUAAGUUCACUUUCUUUGGGGAGAGGCGUUUACUUCCUUCUUAUGUGAUUUCCGCCAUGACUACUAGGAAGAUGCUUCGGAAGGGUUGUCAAGCAUACUUAGCCUAUGUGAUGGACAGUAGUCAGGAAGGACCUAAAUUGGAGGAUAUACCAAUAGUAAACGAGUUCCCUGAUGUAUUUCCUAAAGAGCUUCCUGGGUUGCCUCCAGAUAGAGAGAUUGAAUUCUCUAUUGAUUUAAAUCCAGGUACAGCUCCUAUUUCCAUGGCACUAUACAGAAUGGCCCCAGCAGAAUUGAAGGAGUUAAAAGCACAAUUGCAGGAGUUACUUGAUAAAGGUUUCAUAAGACCCAGUGUUUCACCUUGGGGAGCCCCUGUGCUAUUUGUGAAGAAGAAGGAUGGUUCCUUAAGGUUGUGUAUUGACUACAGACAAUUGAAUCGAGUCACAGUGUGAAAUAAGUAUCCUUUACCCCGCAUUGAUGAUCUUUUUGAUCAACUUCAAGGUGCUAAAGUAUUCUCUAAGAUUGAUUUGCGGUCUGGUUAUCAUCAAUUGAAGAUCAAGGAGUCUGAAAUACCUAAGACAGCCUUUAGAACUCGUUACGGGCAUUAUGAGUUUCUCGUCAUGCCUUUCGGGUUAACUAAUGCACCCGCUGCUUUUAUGGAUCUCAUGAAUAGGGUGUUCAAGCCCUACUUGGAUAGCUUUGUUAUUGUGUUUAUUGAUGACAUCUUAGUGUAUUCUCGUAGCAAGGAAGAGCAUGAUGCAUCUACGGAUAGUACUGCAGAUUUUGAGAGAUAAACAACUAUAUGCUAAAUUGAGCAAAUGUGAGUUCUGGCUUGAUCGGGUGGUUUUCUUGGGACAUGUUAUCUCAGCAGAUGGAGUUUUGGUUGAUCCUAAGAAGAUUGAAGCAGUAGUCAAUUGGGAUCCUCCGACGAAUGUUACCGAGGUUAGAAGUUUUCUGGGCUUAGCAGGGUAUUAUCGUCGCUUUGUUCGGGAUUUCUCCAUCAUUGCAGCACCAUUGACUAAACUCCUUCGAAAGAAUGCAAAGUUUGAAUGGACAGAUGAAUGUCAAGAGAGUUUUGAGAAGCUUAAAACGUGUCUUACAUCAGCUCCAGUUCUUACCUUACCCUCAGGUACAGAUGGAUUUGUGGUGUAUAGUGAUGCUUCUCACAAGGGUUUAGGUUGUGUACUCAUGCAACAUGGGAAGGUGAUAGCUUAUGCUUCUAGACAGCUUAGACCACAUGAAUUAAAUUAUCCCACCCAUGAUCUGGAAUUAGCUGCAGUAGUGUUUGCAUUAAAGACAUGGAGGCAUUAUCUUUAUGGCGUGACUUGCCAGAUUUUUACAGAUCAUAAGAGUUUGAAGUAUCUUCUCACACAGAAGGAGUUGAAUUUAAGGCAGAGACGGUGGAUUGAGUUACUUAAGGACUACGACUGUACUAUUGAAUAUCAUCCAGGUAAAGCUAAUGUGGUAACUGAUGCUCUUAGUCGCAAGUCCUUUAGUAAUUUAGCCUAUCUCAAAACAGUUCGGCUUCCUUUGUUACUAGAGAUCAGAUCCUUAAGGGUAGAGCUAGCAGUGGAUGAUGCAGGAGCAUUGUUAGCAACUCUUAAAGUUCGACCAGUGUUGAUAGAAAAAGUCAGAGAAGCCCAAAAUCAACAUGAGCAGUUGAGUAAAAUCAGUAAUGAAGUAAGAGAUGGCACCCGUAUUGACUUUUCUUUAAGGGAAGACAAUAUUUUAAUGUUUGGUAAUAGACUGUGUGUACCCAAAGUGGAAAGCUUGAAGAGAGAGAUUAUGGAGGAAGCCCAUUGUUCUGCUUACUCUAUGCAUCCAGGCAGUACAAAAAUGUACAGAGAUCUUAGAGAAAACUAUUGGUGGCCAGGUAUGAAGAAAGAAAUAGCUGACUUUGUGUCUACAUGUUUAGUUUGCCAACAGAUUAAAGCAGAACAUCAACAUCCAACAGGGAAGCUGCAACCACUCUCUAUUCCGGAAUGGAAGUGGGAACACAUCACUAUGGAUUUUAUUUUUGGGUUAUCUCGUAGUUCGCAUAGACAUAAUGCAGUUUGGGUGAUAGUUGAUAGAUUAACCAAGUCAGCACACUUUUUUCCUGUCAGGAUGAAUUAUUCUUUAGACAAGUUAGCAGAGAUCUAUGUCAAUGAGAUUGUAAGACUUCAUGGUGCUCCAGUUUCUAUUGUUUCAGAUAGAGCUCCAAGAUUCACUUCUCGUUUUUGGCCUAGUUUGCAAAAUGCUUUAGGCACUAAGUUGAAGUUUAGCACUUCUUUCCACCCUCAAACUGAUGGUCAAUCAGAAAGAACUAUUCAGACCUUGGAGGAUAUGCUGAGAGCUUGUGUAAUGGAGUUUAAAGAAAGUUGGGAUAGGUAUGUGCAUUUAAUGGAGUUUUCUUAUAAUAAUAGUUAUCAUUCGAGUAUCGGCAUGGCUCCUUACGAAGCUUUGUAUGGGAGAAGAUGCAGAACACCAUUGUGUUGGAAUGAGAUAGGGGAAAGACAAUUAGAAGGUCCAGAACUUGUACAACACACUACAGAUAAAAUUCAGAUGAUCAGAAGUAGAUUAAAAGCAGCACAAGACAGAUAGAAGAGUUAUACAGAUCUGAAGAGAAGGGAUAUUGAAUAUAAUGUUGGCGACAAGGUAUUUCUGAAGAUCUCUCCUUGGAAAGGGGUUGUACGUUUUGGCAAACGUGGAAAAUUGAGUCCGCGAUUCAUUGGACCAUAUGAGAUUUUAGAGAGAAUUGGACCAGUUGCUUAUCCUUUAGCACUACCUCUAGAGCUAUCUCAGAUUCAUGAUGUCUUCCAUGUAUCUAUGUUAAGGAGAUACAGAAGUGACCCUUCCCACAUCCUCCAGAAAUAGCCUAUUGAGUUGAGGAAAGAUUUAACAUAUGAAGAAGAGCCAGUAGAGAUCAUUGCCAGAGAAGAGAAGGUUUUAAGGAGCAAGAUAAUACCCUGGUUAAAGUUCGAUGGAGUAACCAUUCUACUAAAGAAGCUAUCUGGGAAAAAGAAGAAUAUGCGAAUUCAAUUUCCACAUUUAUUCCCUUCACCAGGUAUGUAAAUUUCGAGGACGAAAUUUCUAUUAGGAGGAGAGAAUUAUCAGGCCCAGGCCCAGGCCUUUAAACAAAAAUAAUAAUAAUAAUAAUAAUUAAAAGCUUUGGUUUCGGGAAGGAUCCCGAAACCGCGGCCACCGUCUUCCUCCUCCAGAAAUAGAGCUUGCUCUGUUAGUUUAAAAAAAAAAAAAUUUCCUUUUCUUUAAAUCCAAAUCUUCUCCUUCUCAACCCAACCAACCCAUAAACUUCUAAGAUCCUUCAGCUAGAUCCUGAUUAAACCUAUAUUCUGCUUAAAAAAUUCAAUAAUGUCUUCCAGAGGCUCCAAAAUUUGGGUAGGUGAGUUUUAUUCCUUUUAUUCAAUUUUUACGAUAUAAUUUAUUUUCUUUCCCUUUUAAUAGUGAUUUUUGUGAUUUGAGGAUAAAAAUGGGUUAUGUUUUAGGUAGAUCCAAUUAAUGAGUUUUAAUAUUUAUUUUUGGGAUUAAUGAUUUUUAUAGGUUGAUUUAAAUAAUAUUUACAGCUUAUUGAGUAUUUUUGUUGAGUUUGGAUAUUUUUGGAAGGACUAACUAUGCCGAAAUAUUACCGAAAUUUUCUUAAAAAUAUAUAUAUAAAUAUAUUUAAAAUUUCGUAUUUUACAUUUUAUAUUAUUGUUCUAGAGCAUUUUUAUUAUUUGAUAUAUUAUUUUAUUUUCUUUUUAAUUCUAGGAGAGGAUCCAGCUUCCAGGAUAGAUAAUAGGGGUCCUCCUGCGACCUAGGUCUUUUGUCCCAAGUAUUCUGGUGAGGGGAUAAAUAUAUAACAUUGAUAUUUUUCUUAAAUGUAUUUAUAUGUGUAUAUGUUAUUUUGUUUAUUUAAAAUGGGAAAGGAUAAAGUUAUUUUAUAUUUCUUGAAUCACUGAAAAUUUAAUGUAAAGCACAGCUGAAUAAAUAGCCGAUUACACUCUGUAUAUGCACCGAACAGAUAACACCUUGAUGACAGGUGAUUUAUUUUCAGCAUGAUAUAUAGUUAUACUGUCUUUGGGACAGCGCUUGAUAUACAGAUAGCCUUUGGGGCGUAUGUCAGGUGGUCACCCUUUGGGGGUAGCUCUGCACAUGUGUAUGACCAGCAUUUCAUUAGCUCUUAGGCCAAAUUUGUCAUUAUAGAGCCUAAGAUGCCAGCAUUGCUAUCAGGCUGUUAUUAUUUUAUUAUACCUGAGAUGCCAGCAUUAUCUGCAGGGAACAUAUUAUGAGUGUAUGCGGAUUCUAUUUUUCACAGUUUAUUUUAUAUUGAUGGAAUUAAAUUGUAUUUAUUCAGCUGACUUAUUUUAGCUAAAUAUUUGGUACUAUUAAGUACCUAAACUUAUCUUUUCCCCUUUGUUAUUUAUUUAUCCGCUCACUGAGUAGUUUGUACUCACCCUUUUAUUUCUUUUAAAUUUACAGUUCCUUUUUGGUGAUUUGCUCAGCAGUCCUCAUCUUCUUGUUUGUCAUUCUUUCCACAUCGUCCACUCAGAGUCUAGAGGAGGUCGGACCAAUCCUAAGCCUUUUGUCUUUUCUUUUAUAAUUUUGAUAGAUCAUGUAUAGAUUGUACAGCCCAGUGGAAAAGGUGUUUUGUUGAUUGUAAAUAUUUUAUGAAUUGACAGGUCCAACUAUCAGUUUUUCUCUUUUAUGCUUAAUGUUUUGAAAUCAUAGCAGGUUAAAGGUGUUUUAUAUGUAUAAAUAUUAGGGGAAGCUCUGGCAGUUUUUCCAGUCAUAUCCAUCUCUACAGAUUAGAGAAUAGGUGUGACAUAAAAAGUGUUGCCCUAGAUGAUACUUGCUUCCUAAUUAGUGAACAGGCUGCCCAAGGUGUCAAGAGGCUGCCCAAAAGACUUCAAGAGGCUGCCCAAAAUGCCCUUAGUCCAAGAUGUGCUAUCCAUGAACAUGUGAAAAGGAAAAACGUGGGGCAUGUGUUCAAAUGCAAGGAGUGGGACCUUUGGUCUUUACUUGCUGCUCAAGUGUCUUCAAGAUGCUCCUCAAGGUACCCAAGUCUUGCCUUCACACUCUCCUUGCCGCCCAUGCACAAUUAAGGAAGGUGGAGCCUCCUUGCCGGGGAGUUGGUUAAAAUUGGCGCCCUUGCAAUGAUAUACAUCUGUGGCCCUUUGAAUCUUAAUUAAAAUUUAAUUUGUUUUCCAAGUGUUCCGGUCACAUUUUCUCAAGGAUUAAUUUAAUUAUAUAAUACUAAUUAAGUUUAUAGUGAUAUUUCAAGUAAAGUGCAAUACUGUAUCUAAAAUGAAUAGAAUCAACGUAAAUAGAAAAGACACAGAGAGAAAUCUCUUUAUUUAAUUAGUGAAGGCACACCAAGAAAGCAUCUUUUUAGUUAAUAAGGAUAUGCUUUGCUCAUUUAUUGGAGACACUGAGCAGCUUUGACUUCUACUGAUUAUUUUAUGCACUCUCAAAUAGUUUCUGAAGUUUUUCAACCAUAGCAUUGUCCAAUUGGAAGGCCUUAGCAAGAACAUCAGGAUUAAUUGGUGGAUUAGGCCCAAAGACUGCAUUUGCUAUAGUGAUGACGCCUGGGUUUUGGCUGCUUAGACCUGCAAACGCAACUGCAUUCGUCUUUGCAAUAUUGAACUGAAAGUGAAUGAGACCGAUUGGGAAUACAAACACAUCUCCUGGGUAUAAGACUUUGGUGAAUAAACGAUUGGGGUUGGAUGUGACAAAGCCAACAUAAAGGGUUCCUUCCACAACUACAAGGAUCUCUGUGGCACGAGGGUGAGUGUGGGGAGGGUUUAAGCCACCAUAGGGAGCAAAGUCUAAGCGAGCGAGAGAAAUACCAAGAGUAUUAAGUCCAGGUAUUUUAUCAACAUUUAGGAGGGUGACAUUUGAUCCAACUCGAUUUCCUGUAAAUGCUGGGAUAUUGAGUCCCGAAAAAGAGAAAUCGCCAGCUACAGUAAGGUUUGGGUUCUUGCAGAACUUUCCAUUGACAAACACUGCAUUAACACAUUAGUUACUAUUAGAAUCCAUUCACCAUAUAUGCAUUUAAACAAGAAAAAAGGAUUCUUUGAAGGAUAUACUAUGACAGAACGUGAAAGAAAAAACUGAAAGCAAGCUUAUAGAUAUACCAGCAUUCUCAGGUUCAGGAAUUGCAACACAGAAGUCCUGGAGAGGGCUAGGGUCAUCGGCAGAGGCAAAAGAGGAAGCCAAAGCCAAAGCCAAAGCCAACAAGACAAGGAAAUCAAAGGCCUUCAUUUUAUGACUUGUUUUGCUAGCCUUUAAUUGUUGAGUUGGAGGUGUGAAUAAUCUUGCAUGAAUAAAUGAGUAUUUAUAGGUUAAAUUAGUCUCUCAUCUCUGCUUUGAUCUCUAGAUGCUGAUGCAAGGUUGCUAGGUAGUGGUUAAUGAUUUCCAUUUUUUUUUUAAAAAAAAUUUAAGCAACCCAGGAACUUUUCUACAAGUAUGUGCAUAUGCAUUUAAUCAUCCCUUCUUUUGAAUUAAAUUUCAAUCUCAAGUUGGAAUGAUUCAACUCUUUCAAGCUUCUGCAACCUGUGAUGAAAAUUUGCAUUUUGACCUCCCUAGAGUUCUAAUUUUCUUUUCUCACCACCUUUUUUUGUUUAAGGGAAAGAGGAUACUAUGUUUAUGGGUUGGAUUUUUGUAUGUACUCAGCUCGACUAAAUCAUAUUAGAACAGAUUGUUUCUUAGUGUAGAUAUCUGUUUUGAUAUAUGGUAAAAGAUCGUACAAGUUCCUACAAUAUAAAUUAUGGUUACAUUCAUGAAUUUAUUAGCUAUUUUCAUGAAUUUUUAUGAAUAUUUUAUCUUUUACUGGGCUGAUUUUGCUAGAAUAUAUUGAGAAAAAAAUAAAUAAAUGGAGGGACUAUCCAAUUGAAUAAAAAAAAUUAGGAAAAUAUUAAGAGAUAAAAAUGCAAAAGAAUAUGGCAUUACUUAAAGACCGAGUAUCAAUUCAUCAAAUUAAUUUAAUAAAAUCAGUAGUUAAAAUUCAAACUUUGUAAAUAAUAAAAAAGGGUGGUUGGAUUUGAAAAGAAAAGUUCAAAUGCAAAGUGAAAAAAUAAUCAGAAACCUUGUGGUGGCGGUUGAAGUUUCCUUUCGUUUGUCUCAAAGACCACGUCAAUGAAGUAAUUGUCACCCCAUGCAUAUGCAUGAAAGAAACUUACGAAUCUUGAAUUCAAGCAAGGCCUCUAGCAGUUAGCAUACAAUAGGCCAAUUUUUUUUAGCACUAUUUCAUUAUUUAAUUAUAUACUCUUCAAUUUUUAACAUGCUAUAUUAUAAGAUUUAAUAUUUUAAUUCAACUAUUAUAGGAAGAUGGUCACCACUUUAUAAUGUAUCUAAUAAAAUGACUAUAAAUUAGUGUAAUAUAUAUUUAAAUUGCAGUUAUAAAUCGUUUCAUUUUGAUAAUAUAUAAAAAGUAAUGAAGGUUGAGAUCGUGACACGUGUACGCGUGAUUUAAAAGAGACGAGUUAACCUUUUUAUCUGAUCUGACCAAAUUGAAAAAAGACCAUUAUCACUCUUGACCUCCUCCAUACCCAGAACGAGCAGGGCGACCUUUUCAUUGCUCCUACCACAUAUUAGAAACAAAUGUAAAGACCAUCGAUCCCAAUGAAGAUCGUGCAGACUGGGCAUCACCUGAUAAAACUAGAGUAAGUCAACCAAUUUCCAUGCGAUAAUCGACCCCUCUUUAGCCCAUUCCGAGAUAUUAAAUAAGUGUGCAGAAAGACUGCUCAUCCACCUAACAUACCUGCCAAAAAAUAUGGGCUCAAUGGCUUAGCAUUAAUCAGUUGUCUGCCAGCUGGCUUACAUACCUGCCGCACCAUGUCACCAUCCAAUCCGGUAGAACAUAAAGCAGGAAAUCGGGAUAUAAAUAUCCCAAAACCCACCUUGCCACAAGAGGCUAUAAGGAAGAGACCAUCUUUCUCUCUCAAGCUUCGGUAAAUUGACUCUCCCUAAAACAAAAAGUUCUCUUAAAGUGGACUCUCUCUUUGAUAUAUCAACUGAGGAACCCCGCCAGAUAGAGGCUCUCUUUUCUCUAGGAGCCAAGGCCCAAAAGGAGUUAAUAUUCUUCACAUAUACUCACAGAAAUAUCCUCAAAAUAAAGGUCCUUUGGAGAUUUCUUGAAAAUAUUUUAUUACUUCAUUUACUUUUAUUUCCUCUCUAUAUUAACAAUCUAACCUGAGCUUCGGAGGGUCUCCACUGGGGGCAUUCCCAGUGGACCCCUAAUCAUCUUGUCUGUCUUACAGAUCCCCUCCCACAAGAUCAAGUGUGGAAGGACUCAACAGAACCAAUCCUGGAGGCUGGAUCAACAGUCAACCUAUUGGAUUGAACCACUACCAGGUGUUCACAUAUGGACACCCCCUAGAUCUCCCUUACAUCAUGUGGCGCUGUCUGCAACGAAUGAGACUAUCCGAUCGCUGGAGUUUCCAAACCAAACUUAUUGAGAUCCACGUGGCAAACCAAAAAAAGCUAAUAGCCAAACAAUAAGAAAAAUAAAAAGAAAGAGAGGGGUGAAAAGACUCAAGAAUCACCAGUUGUAUCUAAAAGCCACACGACGAAAAAUCAAAUAGAAAAAGAUGUUGAUGCGAUAAGAAGGAGCAACCAUGGAAAAGGAGUGACGUGCACGAAUUACCCAAUUUGUAUAGUUACAUUCUUUAACUCAAGGUAUUUUAUUAUUACGAACCAGUAAAAAAAGUUAUAAUGAACCAUAAUAUGAUAAGUACAUUAAAAAAGCUUAAAAGCUCUCAUCUAUGAUUAAUUUUAGCAUAAAUCCAUUGAAAACAAGAUUAUCUGUUUAAUUGGAAGGUGUGAAGUAAUUUAUGCAUGAGAACACUUAUUAGAUUCUUUUGAAUCAUAUGAAAUAAUAUGGUUGCACAGAAUUAAUGUUUUCUCUACUUUUUUUUUUUUUAAAAAAAGUUGAUGUUGAAUGUGUAUAUGUUUAUACAUAAGGACGUGAAAUUUUAUUAAUGAACAUUUAGGAAAUAAAAAAAAAACUUGGAAAUAUAUCAUCAACCUUACAAAUAUAUCUAAUCUAGGACAAGUAUGCAUGGUAGUUGAAAAACUUGGAAAGAUCAGAUCUAUGUACCAAGAACAGACAAUCCCACAUUGCAGGGCAACUCAAUUGCUCAAAUAUACCACAAAAAAAAAGCAUCAGGAAAUAAUCAAACAUAACAGCUCUACUUUUAAACCAAACCCUAGCUAAGCCAACCCAAAAUAAGGAUGCAGAUGAUGUGGAAAAGGUGCCAAAUCCAGGGAUGUGAUGCCGCAGUAACCCAAUCCAACAAUAGCAGGCUAGAGAUUCGGUAAAGACUGACUAGGCAACGGAGCCAUUAGGACCAGAAAUUCCCUAGACACCACUAUAGGAAGAACAUUUAGGCUGCUGAUAAUUGAAUUAAUAGUAGAUGAAAAACGUUUUGUAAUCUCAAGUUUUUCUUCUCUUUUUAGCAAUCUCAACCAGACAAACAAAACAGGCUAAACUUAAAUAAGAGUGGAAGGAAUCUUUUGAGUCUUAGAUACUCUGAUUCAAUUGUUAGUAUUGAUUCAAUAUUUCUUUCUCUUUUAUUAUUAUUUUUCUUUUCAAGUGUUUCAGCCCAUAUUUCAAAUACGGAUCCGAAAUGAACAUAUAGAGAAGGCACACCAAAAGUCUCUUUAUUAAAUUAUUAUAAGAACACCAAGAAUGCAUACAUUUGCAUAUAACUAGUAUAUGCUUGCUCAAUUAUUAGAGACAAAUGCAUGAAAUGUAACUAAACAUUAUUUUAAAAUAAUGAGCACCAUUGACUUUAAAUGAUUGUUUUAGGCAUUGGCAAAUAGUUUCUGCAAUUUUUCCACAGCAUAAUUGUCCAAUUGGAAGGCCUUAGCAAGAACAUCUGGAUUAAUGGGUGGAUUAGGCCCAAAGACUGCAUUUGCUAUGGUGAUGACGCCUGGGUUUUGGCUGCUUAGACCAGCAAAGGCAACUGCAUUCGUCUUUGCAAUGUUAAACUGGAAGUGGAUGAGACCAAUUGGAAAUACAAAAACAUCUCCGGGGUAUAAGACUUUGGUGAACAAACGAUUGGGGUUGGAUGUGACAAAGCCAACAUAAAGGGUGCCCUCCACAACUACAAGGAUCUCUGUGGCACGAGGGUGAGUGUGGGGAGGGUUUAAGCCACCAUUAGGAGCAAAGUCUAAGCGAGCGAGAGAAAUAC
rnacentral:lncRNA from 1 species